CAGCAGCCGCGGUAAAACGUAGGGUGCAAGCGUUAAUCGGAAUUACUGGGCGUAAAGCGUGCGCAGGCGGUUAUAUAAGACAGAUGUGAAAUCCCCGGGCUCAACCUGGGAACUGCAUUUGUGACUGUAUAGCUAGAGUACGGCAGAGGGGGAUGGAAUUCCGCGUGUAGCAGUGAAAUGCGUAGAUAUGCGGAGGAACACCGAUGGCGAAGGCAAUCCCCUGGGCCUGUACUGACGCUCAUGCACGAAAGCGUGGGGAGCAAACAGGAUUAGAUACCCCUGUAGUCCCUGUCUCUUAUAC
rnacentral:rRNA from 1 species